rnacentral:rRNA from 1 species
UACGUAGGGCGCAAGCGUUAUCCGGAAUCACUGGGCGUAAAGCGCACGUAGGCGGACUCGUAGGUCAAUUGUGAAAUACCUGGGCUCAACCCGGGAACUGCAGUUGAAACCGCUUGUCUUGAAUACCUGAGAGGGUGGGGGAAUACCUGGUGGAGAAGUGAAAUUCGUAGAGAUCAGGUGGAACACCGGAGGCGAAGGCGCCUGCCUGGCAGUGUAUUGACGCUGAGGUGCGAAAGUGCGGGGAGCAAACAGG